AGGGCAUCUGGUGGAUGCCUUGGCACUGAGAGGCGAUGAAGGGCGUGGCACGCUGCGAUAAGCCCGGGGGAGAUGCGAGCAAUCGUUGAUCCCGGGAUCUCCGAAUGGGGCAACCCACCCGCAAGGGUAUCCCGAUCUGAAUUCAUAGGGUCGGGAGGCGAACCCAGCGAACUGAAACAUCUCAGUAGCUGGAGGAAAGGACAUCAACCGAGACUCCGUCAGUAGUGGCGAGCGAACGCGGACCAGGCCAGUGGUUUUCUCGAGCUGUACCGGAAGCAUCUGGAAAGGUGCGCCGCAGUGGGUGAGAGCCCCGUACGGGACACGGCCGAGAGAAUCCUUGAGUAGGGCGGGACACGUGCAAUCCUGUCUGAACAUGGGGGGACCACCCUCCAAGCCUAAGUACUCCUCAGUGACCGAUAGUGCACCAGUACCGUGAGGGAAAGGUGAAAAGCACCCCGAUGAGGGGAGUGAAAGAGUUCCUGAAACCGGAUGCCUACAAGCAGUCGGAGCGGGUCUUCGGAUCCGUGACGGCGUACCUCUUGUAUAAUGGGUCAGCGAGUUGGUCUCACUAGCAAGCUUAAGCCGAUAGGCGUAGGCGCAGCGAAAGCGAGUCUGAAGUGGGCGAAUGAGUUAGUGGGAUCAGACCCGAAACCGAGUGAUCUAGCCAUGGGCAGGUUGAAGGUGCGGUAACACGCACUGGAGGACCGAACCCACGUCUGUUGCAAAAGACGGGGAUGACCUGUGGUUAGGGGUGAAAGGCCAAUCAAACUCGGAAAUAGCUGGUUCUCCGCGAAAUCUAUUGAGGUAGAGCGUCGAUCGCUCACCGCCGGGGGUAGAGCACUGGAUGGGCUAGGGGGACGCGAGUCUUACCAAACCUAACCAAACUCCGAAUACCGGUGAGUGGAGGUCGGCAGCCAGGCGGCGGGUGCUAAGGUCCGUCGCCGAGAGGGAAACAGCCCAGACCACCAGCUAAGGUCCCCAAAUCAUGGCUAAGUGGGAAAGGAUGUGGGAAGGCCAAGACAACCAGGAGGUUGGCUUAGAAGCAGCCAUCCUUUAAAGAAAGCGUAAUAGCUCACUGGUCUAGACAAGCCGUCCUGCGCCGAAAAUGUAACGGGGCUCAAGCCAUGUACCGAAGCUGUGGGUGUGUAGGAUCCUCGGAUCCUGUACGCGGUAGCGGAGCGUUGCCUAAGCCGUUGAAGGUGAUGCGCGAGCAUUGCUGGAGGUAUGGCAAGUGAGAAUGCUGACAUGAGUAGCGAUAAAGAGAGUGAGAAACUCUCUCGCCGUAAGUCCAAGGGUUCCUGCGCAAGGUUAAUCCGCGCAGGGUUAGCCGGCCCCUAAGGCGAGGGCGAAAGCCGUAGUCGAUGGGAAUGAGGUCAAUAUUCCUCAGCCUGGUAGGUGUGACGAAGGCCGAAAGCUGUUUCCUCUUAUUGGAUUGAGGGGGCGGCCUGGGACUUCCCGGAAAUAGCCCUACCAUUAUAGACCGUACCCUAAACCGACACAGGUGGACUGGUAGAGCAUACCGAGGCGCUUGAGAGAAUGGUGUUGAAGGAACUCGGCAAAUUGCCCUCGUAACUUCGGGAGAAGAGGGCCCCGUCUGGGCGCAAGCCCUUGCGGGGGGCACAGAGUUGGGGGUGGCGACUGUUUACUAAAAACACAGGGCUCUGCGAAGUCGCAAGACGACGUAUAGGGUCUGACGCCUGCCCGGUGCCGGAAGGUUAAGAGGAGGGGUGCAAGCUCUGAAUCGAAGCCCCGGUAAACGGCGGCCGUAACUAUAACGGUCCUAAGGUAGCGAAAUUCCUUGUCGGGUAAGUUCCGACCUGCACGAAUGGCGUAACGACUUCCCCGCUGUCUCCAACACCAGCUCAGCGAAAUUGAAUUCUCCGUGAAGAUGCGGAGUACCCGCGGUCAGACGGAAAGACCCCGUGCACCUUUACUACAGCUUUGCAGUGGUGUUAGGGAUUGUGUGUGUAGGAUAGGCGGGAGCCUAUGAAGCCUUGGCGCCAGUUGAGGUGGAGGCAUCCUUGAAAUACCGCCCUCAUGAUCUCUGGCAUCUAACCGUGUCUCGUUAGCCGGGACCGGGACCCUGCAUGGCGGGUAGUUUGACUGGGGCGGUCGCCUCCCAAAGAGUAACGGAGGCGCGCGAUGGUGGGCUCAAGCUGGUCGGAAAUCAGCUGAUGAGUGCAAUGGCAUAAGCCCGCCUGACUGCGAGAGCGACAGCUCGAGCAGAGACGAAAGUCGGCCAUAGUGAUCCGGUGGUCCCGCGUGGAAGGGCCAUCGCUCAACGGAUAAAAGGUACGCCGGGGAUAACAGGCUGAUGACGCCCAAGAGUCCAUAUCGACGGCGUCGUUUGGCACCUCGAUGUCGGCUCAUCACAUCCUGGGGCUGGAGCAGGUCCCAAGGGUAUGGCUGUUCGCCAUUUAAAGUGGUACGUGAGCUGGGUUUAGAACGUCGUGAGACAGUUCGGUCCCUAUCUGCCGUGGGUGUACGAGACUUGCGAGGAGCUGUCCCUAGUACGAGAGGACCGGGAUGGACGCACCUCUGGUGUACCGGUUGUGGCGCCAGCCGCACCGCCGGGUAGCUAAGUGCGGACGGGAUAACCGCUGAAAGCAUCUAAGCGGGAAGCCUCCCUCAAAACCAGGUCUCGCCUGAGAGCCGUGGUAGACCACCACGUCGAUAGGCCGGGUGUGGACGCGCAGCAAUGCGUGAAGCUAACCGGUCCUAAUCGCUCGAUCGGCUCCUUU
rnacentral:rRNA from 1 species